rnacentral:rRNA from 1 species
CCCGCAACGAGCGCAACCCUUAUCCUUUGUUGCCAGCGGUUCGGCCGGGAACUCAAAGGAGACUGCCGGUGAUAAACCGGAGGAGGGUGGGGAUGACGUCAAGUCAUCAUGGCCCUUACGACCAGGGCUACACACGUGCUACAAUGGCGCAUACAAAGAGAAGCGACCUCGCGAGAGCAAGCGGACCUCAUAAAGUGCGUCGUAGUCCGGAUUGGAGUCUGCAACUCGACUCCAUGAAGUCGGAAUCGCUAGUAAUCGUGGAUCAGAAUGCCACGGUGAAUACGUU